rnacentral:lncRNA from 10 species
CUGGGAUUACAGGUGUGAGCCAUCUUGCUCAUUCUAGUUUAAACUUUUGAGUGGUUUGUGUCUCCUGAUUGGACUCCUACAAAUACAGAAUUGAUGCUAGGAAGGGUACCAGGAGAUAGACGCACACAGAUGGGAUUUGGGAAUAGGUUUGGUUAUCCAAGGAGCAGUGCUGAGCUCCUUGCAAUGGGAUAUGGGAUGCUGGUGAUUUCCAGGAAGUGCGCUCACAAUGACUCAAGCUGCCACAUACUGUUGAUUGUGAAAUGCCAGUUGAAGCAUAUGUCCUGCAAGCUUAGGGGUGCUACAAGUUGACCACUGCAGCAGUAAAGAUGACUCUGAAGAACGGCGUGGGAUGGUUCCUUUCAAAUGCACUUGAGCAGCGGUCUCCAACCACAGGGCCACAGAGCUGGAGCUGGAUCUACCAUGAAAGACUUGUGAAUCCAGGAAGAGAGACUGACUGGGCAACAUGUUAUUCAGGUGGGAACAUCCAGUUGCAGGAAAACAAGCUUAACACGCCCACUGAUUCUACAUUAUGGGUCUCCCUCUGUUGUCCAAGGCUGGAGUGUAGUAGUGCUAUCGCAGCUGACUGCAGCCUCAACCUUCCAGGCUGAAGCGAUCCUCCCAC